rnacentral:rRNA from 1 species
CCUACGGGAGGCAGCAGUGGGGAAUAUUGCACAAUGGGGGAAACCCUGAUGCAGCGACGCCGCGUGAGCGAAGAAGUAUUUCGGUAUGUAAAGCUCUAUCAGCAGGGAAGAAAAUGACGGUACCUGAGUAAGAAGCUCCGGCUCAAUACGUGCCAGCAGCCGUGGUAAUACGUAUGGAGCAAGCGUUAUCCGGAUUUACUGGGCGUAAAGGGAGCGUAGGCGGCCUGCCAAGUCUGAUGUGAAAUACCGGGGUUCCACCCCGGGGCUGCAGUUGAAACUGGCAGGCUGGAGUUCCGGAGAGGCAGGCGGAAGUCCUAGUGUAGCGGUGAAAUGCGUAGAUAUUAGGAAGAACACCAGUGGCGAAGGCCGCCUGCUGGACCGUGACUGACGCGGAGGCUCGAAAGCGUGGGGAGCAAACAGGAUUAGAUACCCUGGUAGUC